GCUGGCCCAGGGGCUCCGCGGGGGUCUGGCUGUUGUGUCCACUUCCUGUCUGCAGGGGAGGCAGGAAAGAGGAAAGGAUGGAACAAGACAGAGGCAGUGGCACUUGCCUUUCUGGCCCAAGGCCUGGCUGCUCCAGAGACUGGGAGCAGCUGGAGGGAGCCGUGCCUGAAGCUUGCUCAUCAGAGACACAGCCGGGUGGAUCCCGACUCCUCUGCUGCCUCCUCAGACCCGUCUCAGCCUGGGGUUUCUGGACAGCCUGGCUGCUUGCAAGUCACUCUCUCCUGGCUUGAACAACACCUAGACAUCCUGUCUUUCUCACCCGUUCCCUCUGUGCCACCUCUGUGUCCUCCCUGCUUCCCCCCUCUCCCCCCUGGGACACUGCUGGCCUCUCCUCCUGCCUCACAGAGGCUGUGUGGUUCUUCUUCACAUCUGCCAGUGUCACACACAUUAGUUAUCUUCUCUGAUGGAUUGAUUAACUGAUUGGCUUUUGUGGUAUUGGGAAUUAAAUCCAGGGCCUUUGCACUGAGCUACAUCCCCAGUGCUUCUCCUCCUUAAUCCCCCCCUCUUAAUUUUUU
rnacentral:lncRNA from 1 species